GUAAAGGAUCAACCUCUUCAUCUUUAAUAGCACUUCAUUCAAACUGCUGUUCCAAACCAUGGCACCACAACACUUGCUACCAAACCUGUCACUCCAGAAGUAAUAGCAAGGAGGCAUUCAGAUAUAUAUGUAUGGAUGGGGAUCGGGGUCAUGCUGAUCUGCUGCCAUGGACACAGGACUUAGGAUUUUUUUUUCCCAAACUGCUGAUUAAUGCUGUAAGAGAAACUGAUGUCAAUGGAGGACUCAAACUGCUGGCAAACUAUGUAAAAGUAAGAUGCAUAGAUGUGCUGAUCCAUCACAGCCAGCGGAGGAAGGGUGAUGAUCACUCCAGUCUACAUGACAUAUAGGAGAAGCACCAGGCUAGCUCUCAGCAGAGACAUAUGGUAACUGUGUUGCAACCCUUUCUCUGGUUAGGUUUCACUUCCAGCAUGCCAUCGUUUCAUUGCCAAGUUAUCGAAAAAGAAGCAACUUUGAACUUACAUUUGUAAGAGUUGUUUGGGUGCUUGUUUUGGAUUUUUUUUUAUACCCAUUUCAGCUUGUGGUUGUUGAAAAAUCUGGCAACCCUCUGUAGCCUCCUGGGUGGGACUAAUGGGGUCAGAUGACAGCCUGAUGAACACAUGGGCCUUAUAAAAAAGGGCAGAGAAAAUUCAUGGAGACAACCUACAGGAAGCAGGUUAGGCUCAUGUGGAAGGUCCUGAGGUAGGGUAUGCAGGAUACAGGGAACACCAAUGAGUGAUAGAUUGCAAGAGGAACUUCAGGGAAAGCAGCAUAGGAGUCAGCACUCUGUGACAGAACAAGGAAAGAUUUAAAGGAAGCCCAGGAGGGGCAGAAAAAUCUUUUGGAUAUUUGGCUGGACUUUUGUUACCCUGGAAGGGGUUAAAUUUGCUUAGUAACUUGGAUGGGGGUCCAAACUACAUCAUGAACACCUUUCCAUGUGAGAAAGGCCAAAGGGACGCACCUUGGAGAAGGGAAAUGAGGCAGGAAGCACCUGCAAAUGUCAUGUUUGUCCAGAAGGGGUGCAAUGGGAUGACAUAUGGUGUAAAGAGUGUAUAGUGUACUAUGACCUGUCAGGAUAGCAAAAGAAAAAUCAUUCACAGAAUAUGUAAUAAUACUUAUGCAAUGCAUUCAAGGACUUGAACAUUUGUUUUAAAAAAUCCACUCUCAUGCCAGAAAGUAUAAUUGUUAACCCGUUUUCUAAAUGUGUAAUUUGAAGUGAAGGUGGGCUUGUCCACGGUCAUACACCUAGUGAAUGACACAGUUGGGAAUGGCUUGAUUCCCAGCUCCCUGUCCUAACCAUUAGACAACAUUCCCUCUGCUUGCAGCAACAAAUGUAAUAUAAUAAUUGGAAGAAACUUUCUGAAUUUUUCAUACCUCUAAAACAAAAUUAAAUUGAAAAUGUUGGACCACAUCCUCAUGUGACAUAAUUCACAGUUAAGAUGAUUUAAACCAGCUGAAGAUGAUUACACCCUCCAAGACAUGGCAUGGCUUCUGGUCAAAAAACAUCGGAGGGUGGAAUCUGUCCUUUAAAAUACAGUUCUCCCUAAGGAACAAAAUUAUGCUUUGUAACAAACAAGUGCAAAAUAAAAAAGAACAUU